GGUCUUGUGGUCUAGAGGUAUGAUUCUCGCUUAGGGAACACCCGAAUUCGAUUGCGAGAGGCCCCGCGUUCGAAUCGCGGCAAGACCC
rnacentral:tRNA from 2 species